CAGACAGCGGAAUUGGAAAUAUCCGGAACUCGAAAUAUGUUGCUAGGCGGAAUUGGGAGUAUCUGGAACUCAAAUUACUUGUUUGGCAGAUGGCGGAAUUGGAAAUAUCUGGAACUCAAAAUAUCGGUGCCAAAGUGGGAAUACUUGUAAUGUGUUUGUCAUUGAGAAAUGGUUCAAGUCUGACUUAUUUUCUAGAAUGAUAUGGACUUUUGGACCUGUGCCAAACUGAUCAACUGCAUCCUAAUGGAACGUUCAAGAUGUGAUUCAGUAACUGAUACGGUUGUUGCAAUAAUUAUUUUUGACCAAAUUGAAUCCACAAAAUAAUUGAAGAAAUGGUUUCAGAUGAUUACGAACAAGCGCAGCUAUCUUUGGAGAGGUAAUGCACCUACUGAUAUCCCGUGAUAAGAACUUGGGAGAGAUUUAGUGGAGAACGGCCACUUAGCUCACAAAUCUGAGCUGUUCACAUCAAGCUGAUAUUUGUGACAGCCAUUAUAGCUUUAAUCAUUUUCUCGAUUGAUCAAAGCACCACAGACUGCAUCGUUCGUCACCUCUGCCUUUAAGCGCGUUAUCACCUACUCCAAUAAGCCACCCCAAUAUCCUUAAUAAGCAAUAGAAGUUCUUAUCGACUGUGUAUGACUCAUUAAUAUCCAUGUUCUGUAUAAAUUUAUGUGAUAGGCCUACUGGUAUUAAUGUUGAUGUACCGUAAUGUUUUUUGCUCAUGUAUAAUUGAUAAUAAUACAUUAAAAAUAAAUAUAAUGUUAAAUUAUUA